UUCUGGUUGAUCCCGCCGGAGGUUACUGCUGUCGAGGUUCGACUAAGCCAUGCGAGUCGAAUGUAGCAAUACAUGGCGUACUGCUCAGUAACACGUGGACAACCUACCCUUGAGACGGGGAUAAACCCGGGAAACUGGGUAUAAUACCCGAUAGAUCUCGAAUGCUGGAAUGCAUCGAGAUCCAAAGCUCCGGCGCUCAAGGAUGGGUCUGCGGCCUAUCAGGUAGUAGUGGGUGUAGCGUACCUACUAGCCUACGACGGGUACGGGUUGUGAGAGCAAGAGCCCGGAGAUGGAUUCUGAGACACGAAUCCAGGCCCUACGGGGUGCAGGCGCGAAAACUUUACACUGCGGGAAACCGCGAUAAGGGGACCCCGAGUGCCAGCACCUAGUGCUGGCUGUCCAGCUGUUCAAAAAACAGUUGUUAGCAAGGGCCGGGCAAGACCGGUGCCAGCCGCCGCGGUAACACCGGCGGCCCGAGUGGUAGCCGUUAUUAUUGGGUUUAAAGGGUCUGUAGCCGGCCUAUUAAGUCUCUUGGGAAAUCUGGCGACUCAAUCGUCAGGCGUUCAAGAGAUACUGGUAGGCUUGGGACCGGGAGAGGUGGGAGGUACUCCAGGGGUAGGGGUGAAAUCUCGUAAUCCUUGGGGGACCACCGAUGGCGAAGGCAUCCCACCAGAACGGGUCCGACGGUGAGGGACGAAAGCUGGGGGCACGAACCGGAUUAGAUACCCGGGUAGUCCCAGCUGUAAACGAUGCUCGCUAGGUGUCAGGUGCGGUGCGACCGCAUUUGGUGCCGUAGUGAAAACUUGAAGCGAGUCACCUGGGAAGUACGGUCGCAAGGCUGAAACUUAAAGGAAUUGGCGGGGGAGCAC
rnacentral:rRNA from 1 species